UACGUAUGGUGCAAGCGUUAUCCGGAUUUACUGGGUAUAAAGGGAGCGCGGGCGGCACGGCAAGCCUGAUGUGAAAGCCCGCGGCCCAACCGCGGGACUGCAUUGGGAACUACCGGGCUGGAGUGCCGGAGAGGUAGGCGGAAUUCCUAGUGUAGCGGUGAAAUGCGUAGAUAUUAGGAGGAACACCAGUGGCGAAGGCGGCCUACUGGACGGUGACUGACGCUGAGGCUCGAAAGCGUGGGGAGCAAACAGG
rnacentral:rRNA from 1 species